ACUCCUACGGGAGGCAGCAGUGGGGAAUAUUGCACAAUGGGGGAAGCCCUGAUGCAGCCAUGCCGCGUGUGUGAAGAAGGCCUUCGGGUUGUAAAGCACUUUCAGUAGGGAGGAAGGUAGUGUAGUUAACACCUGCACUAUUUGACGUUACCUACAGAAGAAGCACCGGCUAACUCCGUGCCAGCAGCCGCGGUAAUACGGAGGGUGCGAGCGUUAAUCGGAAUUACUGGGCGUAAAGCGCAUGCAGGCGGCCUGUUAAGUCAGAUGUGAAAGCCCGGGGCUUAACCUCGGAAUUGCAUUUGAAACUGGCAGGCUAGAGUCUUGUAGAGGGGUUAGAAUUUCAGGUGUAGCGGUGAAAUGCGUAGAGAUCUGAAGGAAUACCAGUGGCGAAGGCGGCCCCUGGACAAAGACUGACGCUCAGAUGCGAAAGCGUGGGAGCAAACAGGAUUAGAUACCCCUGGUAGCGACUGA
rnacentral:rRNA from 1 species